UCACAUCAAAAUUAAUUUAAAAAAUUUUUAAAAAAUUAAAAAACAAUAAAAAAUAAAAUAAAAACCACCAUAAGCGACGAGCGAACGAUGCGAGAGGAAGCUAUGGCGGUACUCUCUCUCUCCUCCAAUUAUCACCUUUAUCAUCACCACCACCAUUUUCCUUCAUCAUCAAAACCUUCAACUUUCUCUGUCCUCUCAAAUGCUUUUUUAAAUUGAGACGAAAGAUUUUCAGUUUCAAUUUUGUUUGGUGUUGAUGAUAGAAUUAUUGACGAUGAUGACGACAAUAAUUUAAUUCUCUCAAAAAUCUUCGUACUUUUUAGGGUUUGCACAAUCCGAAUUUCCGCUUCUCAGGUAUUUUGAUUUCGGAAUUUUCUGUUUAAUUUACGCUUUUAACUUUGUAUUUUGAGAUUAUCGUGGAAAUUAGAGUAAUUUUGGUUGUUUAGUUGAGUUCAAUGGUGAAAGUUUUGGAAUUGGAUGAAUCUAAUGUGUAAUAAAGGGGAUGAAUGUUUGGAGGAAGAAGAGUCAUUAUUGUUUAUUGAAUGUAAUCAGUUGCUAAGUCAAGCUCUUCUUAUUGGAAUGGAUAGUAAUAGUAUCAUUACUAGUAAUAAUAAUAAUAAUAAUAAUAUGGGGAAUUUAGGGAAUGAUGAAAUGGUGUCACCUAGGGUGAAGUUUCUGUGUAGUUUUGGGGGGAGUAUAUUGCCCCGGCCUCAGGACGGGAAGCUUAGGUAUGUAGGGGGAGAGACAAGGAUUGUGAGUGUGCCACGUGAUAUAGGGUACGAGGAAUUGAUGGGUAGAAUGCGGGAGCUGUAUGAGUCAACUGCGAUUUUAAAGUAUCAGCAGCCAGAGGAGGACCUUGAUGCACUUGUUUCGGUUGUUAAUGAUGAUGAUGUUACUAAUAUGAUGGAGGAGUAUGAUAAGUUAGGGUCAGGGGAUGGGUUUACAAGGCUUAGGAUUUUCUUGUUUUCUCAUCCGGAGCAGGAUGUGUCAAUGCAUUAUAUGGAUGGAGGAGGGGAUGAAAGGGAUACCGAGAGACGGUAUGUGGAUGCUUUGAAUAGCCUUUGUGAGUCCCCCGACUAUACGAGGCAACAACAACAACAACAACAGCUUAAUGAUUCCCCAAUUAUGACUCCUGUUGAUGAGUUGCAUAUUGCUGAUCAGCUGUUUAAUUCGUUGAAUCUUGAGGGAAGUGUGCAUAAUCAGAGGAACUUUGAUAUGGGUAUGGCACAAUAUAAUUUAAGGCAGCUUGCUAUUCCUACUAUGGGAUCAGGGCAACAUUUAGGUCCUACUGCACAACGGUAUACUGAGGAAGCUCAAGCUCCAUGGAGUCCGGCAUUUUAUUCCCCAAGAUGCGCUGGGCCUCAUGAUACACGCACGUUCACUGAAUAUCCAUCUUCACCGUCAUCAGCUCGUUAUCGUAUGCCUUUUCAAGAAAUGCCUGAUAAAUGUGUGGAUAGGAUGCCAGAUGAUGCUACUACUCUUCAACAAGUAAAUAGUCAAAUCCCAUUUGACCCUCAACAACAAUACUCUGACAAUGUUGCCUGGGUUCCCACUGGUGGAAUGCCGCCUAUGGACAGGGCUGGGUUUCCUGGCAACAUACUUAAUGGACAUAGUGUUCUGGAUAGACCAAGCGUAUGUGAGCAAUGCAAGAUGACUUUUCAAAGGAAUCCAACUUCUUCUGACUAUCACUGGAAGGCUGAAGGCCAGUGUCACGUGGAACAGUCAACUGUUGCAAAUGGGUUCCCUCAUGUUGGAAAUCAGUGUGUUGAAUGCCUUCCGAAUAGGGAACCUGUUAUGUUGAACACGGAUCCAAAAUUGCAGCAUAGCAUUCCUGGAGUUGGAAGGAUGAGUGAACAUUACAACUUAGAUGGUUCUGGUGCAAGUAUAGCUAUGAGACCCAGCAACUUACCAGAGGGGCACCUAGUGCCAAAACCUUAUGUCCCCCUUGAAGAUCCCCGCUACAUCCGAGCUGGUGCUGAAUUGGGAGGUGAGGUUUUCCACAACCAAGCUGUUGCUGCUGGCUCACAAGUUCAUGUUCCGUUAGAGGAUCGAGGUGUUCAUGCUGCAAACUUGCCCUAUUCUUAUGGUACAGAUAUUCCUCACCAAGUAAUAAACAGCCACCCGUCUGCACAGACAACGUGGAGGAAUGUUCCUACCCCGGUGCACGUAUCUCCAGUGUAUGACCCAUCUAAUCUUCAGCUGAGAAAUGGUAUUCCUAGUCCAGUAGUUCCUAGGGCAAAUGUGGAAGCUAGUCCCAGAUUCUUCGUUGGAGUUGAUCAAAGUCCUUGGGGUGAGUCUUCCAGGAGUAGGUUAGGAGUCGAAGGAUUAGCUACACCAGAAAGUCCUUACGGCCAUUUUUCAAAAUUGAGUGCGGGUUCUCCUCUUCAGGAAGUUCAUCCGACAUUUCCUCAAGAUCCUUCAAGAAAUACACCUAAUAUGGGUAAUAUUCCAAGGCCUACUGAGCUAACUAUAAUGAAUGAGAAUAUGCUGUCUUCUGGUGCCAGAGAUCACACUUCAGUACAAAGAGAAGAUGCUGGUAAUGCCGGCGUCCCGUCAGAUGAAAGAAGUAACCAUCAUGAAUUAAAUGAAACUAUUCCCUUGAGAAAAGCCGAGCUCCUAGAUGUAGACGGUUUCAUCUGUACUGAACAAAACAAUAAUGCAGAGAAGCAUUCCACCGUGACAUCACUUAAUGCUAUGAAGUUAAAUGACACAAAGCCUGCUGAAGAAAUUAAAUGUGGUAUUGAACUUGGAGAAACUAAUACUUGUCUACCAACAGAAAAGGCAGACUUGAGUUUCUUGCCUGAAUUGGUGGCGUCUGCCAAGAAAGCUAAACUGGAAAGUGUUGAAAGGGUUAAAGCCAGAGCUAAAGAAGAUGGUUGUAAUACUGCGAGAGUUGCUAACAUUGAUGAAACAGCAUCACCGGAUGUUGAUGGUAAUUCUGAGGGUGGAUCUGAUGAAAACAUUGAUACCUCUAAGAUUGAGCACACAAAGGCUGAAGAUGAAGCUCUUGCUCAAGGACUUCAGAUAAUAUACAAUGCUGAUCUGGAAGAGAUUCGCAUGCUUGGCUCUGGUACAUAUGGUGCUGUUUUCCAUGGGAAGUGGAAGGGUUCUGAUGUAGCAAUAAAAAGAAUUAAAGCCAGUUGCUUUGCUGGACGGCCGUCUGAAAGAGAGCGCCUUAUCGCAGACUUUUGGAAGGAGGCUUUCUUAUUGAGUUCAUUGCAUCAUCCAAAUGUAGUUUCCUUUUACGGUAUAGUACGUGAUGGUCCUGAUGGGACUUUAGCAACUGUCACCGAAUUCAUGAUUAAUGGAUCAUUGAAACAGUACUUGCGAAAGAAGGACAGAACAAUUGAUCGCCGUAAAAGACUCAUCAUAGCUAUGGAUGCAGCAUUUGGAAUGGAGUAUUUGCAUGGAAAGAACAUAGUGCAUUUUGAUUUGAAAUGUGAAAAUCUUCUGGUCAACAUGAGGGAUCCUCAUCGACCAGUCUGUAAGAUUGGUGAUCUGGGAUUGUCAAAGGUGAAGCAGCAUACAUUGGUGUCAGGUGGUGUUCGUGGAACUUUACCCUGGAUGGCCCCUGAGCUGCUUAGUGGAAAGAGUAACAUGGUGACAGAGAAGAUUGAUGUUUAUUCAUUUGGGAUCGUAAUGUGGGAGUUGCUCACAGGGGAAGAACCUUAUUCAGAUAUGCAUUGCGCUUCAAUAAUUGGUGGUAUAGUGAACAGUACAUUGCGUCCUCAAAUCCCUACGUGGUGCGAUCCUGAAUGGAAGUCUUUAAUGGAAAGCUGUUGGGCACCUGACCCGGCCAAUAGGCCAUCAUUUACAGAGAUUUCUCAGAAGCUAAGGAGUAUGGCUGCAGCAAUGAAUGUCAAAUGAUAGAACAGCCCACAAACUUUGCAGGUUUGAUGUUUACUAGCUGGCCUCUGAUCUCUCAAGUUAUGGAAAGCUAUGCUGCAUUCUGCUUCACACUCUACUAUGAAGUAUAAAGGUUUUAGCAUCUCAUCAUAUAUAAUUCUUUUGCGUGUUACUAUGCACACUUAGCUGGCAUUCAGAAAGAUCAGGAAGUUGGGAGUGCCAUCCCAAAACAGAACAAUGUCAUGUGUACUAAAAUUGGUGGUGAACUGGUGAUGCCACUGAGAGAAAGGGUUGUUUGAUUUCUAAGAUGAAGCUGUAAAUUCCACUGUAUAUAAGCCAAAUAUUAUAGCAUGAUCCUUGGAAGGAACAAACGAUACAAUAUCUUGCUAGAACUCGACAGAGAUGUGGUCAAGUUCUUUUGGUUUAAUCUUGUAGACUAGGAAUAAAUUAUGUAAUACACAUUCAAUCAUGUAUGCAGUUGUAAUGAAGUACAUAUGAUUCUUACUUCAACAGCUCUUCGUAGUUCAUACUACUGAUACAUUGAUGUCAUGCAGUGAUGAUGUUAUUGUCUGAGUUAGAUGACUGAGAAGAGCUCUGAGCUGAAUAAUUACAUAUUGUGGCAUAAUUUUUGCUUUCAAUAUACUUUGUGAAACCUCGAGAUUGAAAUUUUGUUCGAUGCCUUUACGGUUUUGAUUUCUA